GGGGAAUAUUGCACAAUGGGCGAAAGCCUGAUGCAGCGACGCCGCGUGAGGGAUGACGGCCUUCGGGUUGUAAACCUCUUUCAGUAGGGAAGAAGCCUUUCGGGGUGACGGUACCUGCAGAAGAAGCGCCGGCUAACUACGUGCCAGCAGCCGCGGUAAUACGUAGGGCGCAAGCGUUGUCCGGAAUUAUUGGGCGUAAAGAGCUCGUAGGCGGUUUGUCGCGUCUGCUGUGAAAUCCCCAGGCUCAACUUGGGGCGUGCAGUGGGUACGGGCAGACUAGAGUGCGGUAGGGGAGACUGGAAUUCCUGGUGUAGCGGUGGAAUGCGCAGAUAUCAGGAGGAACACCGAUGGCGAAGGCAGGUCUCUGGGCCGUUACUGACGCUGAGGAGCGAAAGCAUGGGGAGCGAAC
rnacentral:rRNA from 1 species